CAGCAGCCGCGGUAAUACGAAGGGUGCAAGCGUUAAUCGGAAUUACUGGGCGUAAAGCGUGCGUAGGCGGUGAGUUAAGUCUGCUGUGGAAUCCCCGGGCUCAACCUGGGAAUGGCAGUGGAUACUGGCUCGCUAGAGUGUGUCAGAGGAUGGUGGAAUUCCCGGUGUAGCGGUGAAAUGCGUAGAGAUCGGGAGGAACAUCAGUGGCGAAGGCGGCCAUCUGGGACAACACUGACGCUGAGGCACGAAAGCGUGGGGAGCAAACAGGACUAGAUACCCCCGUAGUCCCUGUCUCUUAUAC
rnacentral:rRNA from 1 species